rnacentral:rRNA from 1 species
GACGAACGCUGGCGGCGUGCUUAACACAUGCAAGUGGAGCGACGAACCAGGGCUUGCCCUGGGGCAGAGCCGCGAACGGGUGAGUAACACGUGGGUAACGUGCCCCGAUGACUGGGACAACCCGGGGAAACCCGGGCUAAUACCGGAUGUGCCCCCUCACAUCAGUGAGGUGUGUAAAGGAAGCUUCGGCCUCCGCAUCGGGAUCGGCCCGCGGCCCAUUAGCUUGUUGGUGAGGUAACGGCUCACCAAGGCUGCGAUGGGUAGCUGGUCUGAGAGGACGAUCAGCCACACUGGGACUGAGACACGGCCCAGACUCCUACGGGAGGCAGCAGUGGGGAAUCUUGCGCAAUGCGCGAAAGCGUGACGCAGCAACGCCGCGUGGGGGAAGACGGCCUUCGGGUUGUAAACCCCUUUCAGUUGGGACGAAGGUCGUGCGGUUAACAGCCGUUCCGGCUGACGGUACCUUCACAAGAAGCCCCGGCUAACUACGUG